rnacentral:rRNA from 1 species
GCUUACGGCCAUACCACGUUAAAGGCACGCAAUCCCCUCCGAUCUGGCAAGUUAAGCAACGUUGGCCCUAGUUAGUACUUGGAUCGGAGACGGCUUGGGAAUCCCAGGUGUCGUAAGCU